rnacentral:rRNA from 1 species
UACACUCCUGCGGGAGGCAGCAGUGGGGAAUAUUGCACAAUGGGCGCAAGCCUGAUGCAGCGACGCCGCGUGGGGGAUGAAGGCCUUCGGGUUGUAAACUCCUUUCGCUAGGGACGAAGCUUUUUUGUGACGGUACCUAGAUAAGAAGCACCGGCUAACUACGUGCCAGCAGCCGCGGUAAUACGUAGGGUGCGAGCGUUGUCCGGAAUUACUGGGCGUAAAGGGCUCGUAGGUGGUUUGUCGCGUCGUCUGUGAAAUUCUGGGGCUUAACUCCGGGCGUGCAGGCGAUACGGGCAUAACUUGAGUGCUGUAGGGGUAACUGGAAUUCCUGGUGUAGCGGUGAAAUGCGCAGAUAUCAGGAGGAACACCGAUGGCGAAGGCAGGUUACUGGGCAGUUACUGACGCUGAGGAGCGAAAGCAUGGGUAGCGAACAGGAUUAGAUACCCGGGUAGUCCC